AGUGGCCUACCUUGGGACACAUAUCAGGAGGUUUCAGAAGUGAAACUUACACCUUCAUCUCCCUAACUCUGAAGCCCAGGGACUAUUCACCAGGCCACACUGAUAAAAAUAUAGAAUGUUCCUGUGUGUGUAUAGAUAUAUACAUGCAUAUGUGUAUGUGCAUACAUAUACAUAUAUGUAUAAGCUUUUAAACAUUUAAAUAAACAGGUGAUAUAUCUGCCAGAACUCUUAUUUCCUGACUAUACCAGACAAGACUUUACAAUACAGUUUGAAAGAUGGCAUUUGUGACAACAAAAUGAACUGGGACCAGGAAUCUUUUGAAAGAAGUAAUUGGGAGCCGAUAGUUUAUUUGAUUAUUUGUUUGUUUAGUUUCUUCCAUUAAAUCUAACCUCCUUAAGAGGAAGACUCAUGCUUCUCCCUUAUCAUGUAAUCCAAGAACAUGGACUUGUGGCCAGGUUUUCUAUAGAAACUGUCCUAGAAUAUAUGACCCCAAUUCCCCCCUGUUGCUAACCUGAAACAUUCUAUCUCCUAGCAACAACAACCUAGCCUGUAUUCUAAUACCUCUAUCCACCUGACUUGAUAGGCCAUCUUGUUCACUGCUGCCAAGGGGUGACUGAUGCCUACAGGAUAAAUACUGCUGUCUUAAAGACUAAGAAAAAAAGAGCAUUCAAUCCCACAUCAAACCAGAGGUGAUCAGAUCCACAGCUGGAGAAGUAGCCAAAUCUUAUAUCUUGUACAGGAGCUAUAGAUGGACAAUGGUAUAGACCCAAGUUGGAAUUGAAAGAGGAGAUGGGGCAGGAUCAUAUCACAUUUGGAAGAUCAUGCUUUCAGUCAGCCUAAGAGGUUUGCAGCUGCCAAAAUCUAUCUCUUUAACACCAGUAUUUCUCUAGUGAGGCUACAAAGUUGUGAAUCAUGCAGUACCAUCUCUGAGCCAUCUCAAGAAUCAAACUUCAGAAAGAGCCAUCCGACAUUCAAGAUAUUAUUCAGGAUCCAUACCAAGUAAAAUGGAGUUGGCAGGACAUCUGGUUUCACGUAGAACCAUCCAAGUUCAUUCCUGGCCCCCCCCCCAAAAAAAGGUGUCCAUUCAGCAAGGCUUAUAGUUAAUUCUCAUUGGAUCCAGUGAACCCACCCACCCUUAGCACAUUGCAGGUUCAGUGACUUCUACACAUUCCAUUUUGACUUAAUAAAAUCUGCUGUGCUCUGGCGGGAAGC
rnacentral:lncRNA from 1 species